rnacentral:rRNA from 1 species
UACAGAGGUCCCAAGCGUUGUUCGGAUUCACUGGGCGUAAAGGGUGCGUAGGUGGUUAGGUAAGUCCGAUGUGAAAUCUCCAGGCUCAACCUGGAAAUGGCAUUGGAUACUAUCUAGCUUGAGGAGUGGAGGGGGGACUGGAAUUCUCGGUGUAGCAGUGAAAUGCGUAGAGAUCGGGAGGAACAUCUGUGGCGAAGGCGGCCACCUGGACCAACACUGACACUGAGGCACGAAAGCGUGGGGAGCAAACAGG